ACAAGCUAAAAGUUGUGGAUGAAAGUCUUAAGGAACAACAUUCUGCAGAGGAUGACAAACAAAGCAAAGUUGUCAAAGAAAAUGCAAAGCAACAACAUGAUAUGAAGUUAGAGAAACAAGCAAAAGACGAAACCGAAGGGAAUUUCUCAAGUGCCUGGGGAAUGAAGCACUGGGGAUCAAAUUCCAAAAAGGUAGACACACUUAAAGUUGCAAAAGACAGUUCCAAGGACAAACAUGCUAGAGAGGAUGACAAACAAAGAAUAGAAAAGAAACCAAUUCAAGAUGAAAAAACUGCCAAAGAACAUGUGAAAAAUAUAGGCAAACAAGUUGAAGAAACUACCAUGGAUUUGGUCAUUGAAGACCUUGAACUGCUGGAAAGUGGGAAUGAUGUGGGAUUGAAGCUCAAGAGAUCAAAUACUAAAAUGGAAGACAAACUUAAAGUGACAAAAGAAAGACAAAAUGAAGAACAGGCUAAAAGGUUCGAGACACAAGUAAAAAAAGAAACCAAAGUGAAUUUGUCAAUUGAAAAGCUAGCACUAACGGAAAAAGACACAGAUGGGGGAAUGAAAAACAUGAGAUCAAAUCCCAAAAAGGAAGACAAACAAAGAAAAGCACUGAAAGAAAGACAAAAAGGACAAAAUGCCAAAGGAAGUAACAAUGGAAAGACAAAGGACACACAAGUCAUAGAAGAGACCGACGCAACCUACAAGAAAGAAAUCCAAACAGAGAUGCCGAAGUCAAUUCUUGACAAGAUACGCAAUAAAAUCGACCAACACAGAAUCCAAAAGAAGGAAAAACAGAAACAAAAAAAUCUUAAAUUCCUUCAAGAAGCAUUGACCACUCAUGAAGUAUUAGAUGUGGCAUUAAACAUACAUGCCAAAAAGAAGCCUAGAAAAUGGGUCAAAUGCCAGGAUUUUUCAAUAUUUCAGUGUAAAUGAACUGCACCGUAGAUUCCCUGGAUGCUGAAAUCAACUGAAACGUGCCAUGUGGUUCUGGAACAUGAUUUUCUUCAUUUGUAUUCAAGAUCAAAUAAACUAGUGUGUUGUCCACACGCAUUACUACAAGGA
rnacentral:lncRNA from 1 species